GUCAACAAUGUCGUGGAGCGCAUCAUAGAUUUGGAUCAUGAGGCUUGAAGGAGCGAUGGUCUGGACGAGAAGCUCCUCUUGGAACUACAUCACAUUGCUGCCUGCACAGACGAUAACUAGAGACAGAAGGAAGAGAGGAGCAGCAAAAGCAGCGGCAGCAGCAUGGUCGCGCCGAGGAAAAUCCAACUGAACUUUAAUGGUAAGAAGAUCUAGAUUUUGGACAUUGGAAGUUUCAGUAACUUAGCGUGGAUAUGAUGCAGCAGCAGUAGCAGGAGCAGCAGCAGCACAGGAAGAUACCAGUCUCUCUCUCUCUCUCACUCACUCCUCACACACUCGAUUAUAAGUUCUCUACUGAGAGAGAGAGUGAGAGAAAGAGAGAGAGAAGGGGAGGGAGAUAGAAAGAAAGGAGAGCUUCCCUGUUCCGUGGCCGUCGAUCGUUGCUCUUCGCUGCGUGGUUUGGAGAAGAAGAGACAAAAGGAAGCCUCUCAACCCAGGCAAGCUCUCGAUUUCC